CGAAUAUGACUACAUGCUUUCCUGGUGUGUGGUGGAAAGCUUUUGCGGUGUGGGAUGGGCCCGCGGCCUAUCAGCUUGUUGGUGGGGUAAUGGCCCUACCAAGGGCGACGACGGGUAGCCGGCCUGAGAGGGUGACCGGCCACACUGGGACUGAGAUACGGCCCAGACUCCUACGGGAGGCAGCAGUGGGGGAAUAUUGCACAAUGGGCGCAAGCCUGAUGCAGCGACGCCGCGUGAGGGAUGACGGCCUUCGGGUUGUAAACCUCUUUCAGCACAGACGAAGCGUGAGUGACGGUAUGUGCAGAAGAAGGACCGGCCAACUACGUGCCAGCAGCCGCGGUAAUACGUAGGGUCCGAGCGUUGUCCGGAAUUACUGGGCGUAAAGAGCUCGUAGGUGGUUUGUCGCGUUGUUCGUGAAAACUCACAGCUUAACUGUGGGCGUGCGGGCGAUACGGGCAGACUUGAGUACUGCAGGGGAGACUGGAAUUCCUGGUGUAGCGGUGGAAUGCGCAGAUAUCAGGAGGAACACCGGUGGCGAAGGCGGGUCUCUGGGCAGUAACUGACGCUGAGGAGCGAAAGCGUGGGGAGCGAACAGGAUUAGAUACCCUGGUAGUCCACGCCGUAAACGGUGGGUACUAGGUGUGGGUUUCCUUCCUUGGGAUCCGUGCCGUAGCUAACGCAUUAAGUACCCCGCCUGGGGAGUACGGCCGCAAGGCUAAAACUCAAAGAAAUUGACGGGGGCCCGCACAAGCGGCGGAGCAUGUGGAUUAAUUCGAUGCAACGCGAAGAACCUUACCUGGGUUUGACAUGCACAGGACGCUGGUAGAGAUAUCAGUUCCCUUGUGGUCUGUGUGCAGGUGGUGCAUGGCUGUCGUCAGCUCGUGUCGUGAGAUGUUGGGUUAAGUCCCGCAACGAGCGCAACCCUUGUCCUAUGUUGCCAGCGGG
rnacentral:rRNA from 1 species